rnacentral:rRNA from 1 species
AUUGAACGCUGGCGGCAGGCUUAACACAUGCAAGUCGAGCGGAGAUGAGGUGCUUGCACCUUAUCUUAGCGGCGGACGGGUGAGUAAUGCUUAGGAAUCUGCCUAUUAGUGGGGGACAACAUUCCGAAAGGAAUGCUAAUACCGCAUACGUCCUACGGGAGAAAGCAGGGGAUCUUCGGACCUUGCGCUAAUAGACGAGCCUAAGUCGGAUUAGCUAGUUGGUGGGGUAAAGGCCUACCAAGGCGACGAUCUGUAGCGGGUCUGAGAGGAUGAUCCGCCACACUGGGACUGAGAAACGGCCCAGACUCCUACGGGAGGCAGCAGUGGGGAAUAUUGGACAAUGGAGGAAACCCUGAUACAGCCAUGCCGCGUGUGUGAAGAAGGCCUUAUGGUUGUAAAGCACUUUAAGCGAGGAGGAGGCUACUGAGACUAAUACUCUUGGAUAGUGGACGUUACUCGCAGAAUAAGCACCGGCUAACUCUGUGUCAGCAGCCGCCGCAG